UACGGAGGAUGCAAGCGUUAUCCGGAAUGAUUGGGCGUAAAGCGUCCGCAGGUGGCCGUGUAAGUCUGCUGUCAAAGCGUCUGGCUCAACCAGAUAAAGGCAGUGGAAACUACAUAGCUAGAGUAAGGUAGGGGUAGAGGGAAUUCCUGGUGUAGCGGUGAAAUGCGUAGAGAUCAGGAAGAACACCGGUGGCGAAAGCGCUCUGCUGGACCUUAACUGACACUGAGGGACGAAAGCUAGGGGAGCGAAUGGG
rnacentral:rRNA from 1 species